AUUGAACGCUGGCGGCAGGCCUAACACAUGCAAGUCGAGCGGAGCGGCGGACGGGCGAGUAAUGCCUAGGUAUCUGCCUGGUCCUGGGGGAUCACGUCCGGAACCGGGCGCUAAUACCGCAUACUAUCAGAUGAGCCUUGGUCGGCUUAGCUCGUUGGUGGGGUAAAGGCCUACCAAGGCGACGAUCCGUAACUGGUCUGAGUGGAUGAUCAGUCACACUGGAACUGAGACACGGUCCAGACUCCAACGGGAGGCAGCAGUGGGGAAUAUUGGACAAUGGGCGAAAGCCUGAUCCAGCCAUGCCGCGUGUGUGAAGAAGGUCUGCGGAUUGUAAAGCACUUUAAGUUGGGAGGCGUUACCAACAGAAUAAGCACCGGCUAACUUCGUGCCAGCAGCCGCGGUAAUUC
rnacentral:rRNA from 1 species